rnacentral:lncRNA from 1 species
ACGCCUCCUGGACCUCCACCCCGCCUCGGCCGGCAGCGGCGAGCUCAGGCGGCGCCAAGCUCGUGCGGCAGCCGACGACCUCACCGCGGCGGCAGGAGGAGCGGCGUGCGGCCGCGUCCGCUUGCCCGAAGUCCUCACCGCCUCCCUCCCCACGUCCCCGACAGCCGCCGUGUCCCCGACGCCCUCGCCGGCGCAAAUCGCCGCCGCCGCCUGCAAGGUGUUCGUCGGUUUGCUUGCAAGGUAAUUUCUUCGUUUUUUAUUUUUUUCCUUUUUUAUUUUUUGUUUCAAACAUCUAUAGAAAUGUUUUGGUACUUGGCUAUUUAGAUUUCGAUGUGCUAUCUAUUUUUCUAGAUGGUUCGGUUUGAGGAAGAAUUGAGCAACGGUUCAUCAUCGGAGGAGGAAGAAGAGUGGGAUGAAGAUGAGGAGC